GAGAGUAUAGCUCAGUGGUAGAGCACAUGCUUAGCAUGCAUGAGGUCCUGGAUUCAAUCCCCAGUACCUCCA
rnacentral:tRNA from 1 species